GCUCUAAUAGCUCGGGUAGUAGAGCAUCCAAGCUACUGAGGUAAGCAACUUAAUAUUUGGGAGGUCUCUGGUUCAACUCCAGAUUGGGGCA